rnacentral:rRNA from 1 species
AGUAAUACAUAAGUAACCUGCCCUAGACAGGGGGAUAACUAUUGGAAACGAUAGCUAAGACCGCAUAGGUACGGACACUGCAUGGUGACCGUAUUAAAAGUGCCUCAAAGCACUGGUAGAGGAUGGACUUAUGGCGCAUUAGCUGGUUGGCGGGGUAACGGCCCACCAAGGCACGAUGCGUAGCCGACCUGAGAGGGUGACCGGCCACACUGGGACUGAGACACGGCCCAG